rnacentral:rRNA from 1 species
ACGCUCGACACCUACAGGAGGCAGCAGUGGGGAAUAUUGGGCAAUGGGCGAAAGCCUGACCCAGCAACGCCGCGUGAGGGAAGAAGGUUUUCGGAUUGUAAACCUCUGUCCUCAGGGACGAAGGACGUGACGGUACCUGAGGAAGAAGCCCCGGCUAACUACGUGCCUGCAGCCGCGGUAAUCUGAGCGGGCUGGCAAGGC